UGGGGAAUAUUGCACAAUGGAGGAAACUCUGAUGCAGCGACGCCGCGUGAAGGAUGAAGUAUUUCGGUAUGUAAACUUCUAUCAGCAGGGAAGAAAAUGACGGUACCUGACUAAGAAGCCCCGGCUAACUACGUGCCAGCAGCCGCGGUAAUACGUAGGGGGCAAGCGUUAUCCGGAUUUACUGGGUGUAAAGGGAGCGUAGACGGCUUUGCAAGCCAGAUGUGAAAGCCCGGGGCUCAACCCCGGGACUGCAUUUGGAACUGUAAUGCUAGAGUGUCGGAGAGGCAAGUGGAAUUCCUAGUGUAGCGGUGAAAUGCGUAGAUAUUAGGAGGAACACCAGUGGCGAAGGCGGCUUGCUGGACGAUGACUGACGUUGAGGCUCGAAAGCGUGGGGAGCAAACAGGA
rnacentral:rRNA from 1 species